AUCUACCAUAGAACCCAGGUCAUUUUCCAAUCUAACUGCUCUGAAUAAACUAUAUCUUCGUGGAAUCGGUCUGUCUGAAGUCGCUUCAUUAACGUUCGAUGGAUUAAUCGGUUUAGAGAGAUUGGAUAUGUCGAAAAACAAUAUUCGAGAGAUUGCUGCUGAUCAGUUGAUUGGAUUGCCUGCACUUGAA